rnacentral:lncRNA from 1 species
CAGAAUUACCAAAAAUGAAAGAAUUGCCCCUAAAGAAUGAAAAACCUGCAUUAAAGAAAAGCAGAUGUGUAGACUGCAGGCAGCUUGGGAGCAGAGUAAGCCUGGAUCCAUGCACAAGAGGGCGUGCUUGAAGGACUUAAAUAUCUUCUCUGCUGUUGUUCGGCAAGAGGAGAAGAAUCAGAAACUUGAAACCCAAGCAGGGAGAAGAAAGGUCAUCUCUCUAUAAAUAUCGUUUUCUGACCCCUCUGGCCAGCAGCCCCAGAGCCGUUUCUGUCCCUCAGCGGGGCCCUCUGGAAGAGGUGCUGGAGGAGAAGAGCUUUCAAUGGGCAAAGGAAAGGCAGGGAAGAUUUGGCUUUUAGUCUUUCCUUUGGGCUUGCCCAGAGACUGAGCUUGCUUGGCAUCUCGAUGGGCUUCUUGGUCUUCCAGAAGGAGCAUGAGGGUCAAGUGAGGUACUCUGGGCUUCCCACAGACUAAAACAGCCAUGUCCUGGAGGGAAUCCAGGAGAACAGAGGUAGGGGAGGUCUGACAUUUCUGCAG